GCAGUCGAACGAUGAUGCCCACUUGUGGGUGGAUUAGUGGCGAACGGGUGAGUAACACGUGAGUAACCUGCCCUUGACUCUGGGAUAAGCCUGGGAAACUGGGUCUAAUACCGGAUAUGACCUUCCAUCGCAUGGUGGUUGGUGGAAAGCUUUUGUGGUUUUGGAUGGACUCGCGGCCUAUCAGCUUGUUGGUGAGGUAAUGGCUUACCAAGGCGACGACGGGUAGCCGGCCUGAGAGGGUGACCGGCCACACUGGGACUGAGACACGGCCCAGACUCCUACGGGAGGCAGCAGUGGGGAAUAUUGCACAAUGGGCGCAAGCCUGAUGCAGCGACGCCGCGUGAGGGAUGACGGCCUUCGGGUUGUAAACCUCUUUCAGUAGGGAAGAAGCGAAAGUGACGGUACCUGCAGAAGAAGCGCCGGCUAACUACGUGCCAGCAGCCGCGGUAAUACGUAGGGCGCAAGCGUUAUCCGGAAUUAUUGGGCGUAAAGAGCUCGUAGGCGGUUUGUCGCGUCUGCCGUGAAAGUCCGGGGCUCAACUCCAGAUCUGCGGUGGGUACGGG
rnacentral:rRNA from 1 species